AUCAUUACACAAAUAUGAAGGCGGGCUGGCACCUCCCGGGGUGGCCAGCCUUGCUGAAUUAUUCCACCCGUGUCUUUUGCGUACUUCUUGUUUCCUUGGUGGGCUCGCCCACCACAAGGACCAACCCAUAAACCUUUUUGCAAUGGCAAUCAGCGUCAGUAACAAUGUAAUAAUUUACAACUUUCAACAACGGAUCUCUUGGUUCUGGCAUCGAUGAAGAACGCAGCGAAAUGCGAUAAGUAGUGUGAAUUGCAGAAUUCAGUGAAUCAUCGAAUCUUUGAACGCACAUUGCGCCCUUUGGUAUUCCAAAGGGCAUGCCUGUUCGAGCGUCAUUUGUACCCUCAAGCUUUGCUUGGUGUUGGGCGUCUUUUUGUCUCCCCUUGCGGGAGACUCGCCUUAAAGUCAUUGGCAGCCGGCCUACUGGUUUCGGAGCGCAGCACAAGUCGCGCUCUCUUCCAGCCCCAAGGUCUAGCAUCCACCAAGCCUUUUUUUUCAACUUUUGACCUCGGAUCAGGUAGGGAUACC
rnacentral:rRNA from 1 species